rnacentral:piRNA from 1 species
UAAAGUGCUGUUUGAUGCCCAAAAGCAGGUC